CAGAAGGAUAGGGAAUCGCACGAAUGGAAAUGUGCGUCCAAGCAGUGAGUGUGAGAAGUAGGCAAAUCCGCUUCUCGCGAAGCAUGAGCUGUGAUGGGGAAGGAAAUUAAGUACGGAAGUUCCUGAUUUCACGCUGUCAAGAAAAGCCUCUAGGAAGAGUAGUACUGCCCGUACCGCAAACCGACACAGGUAGAUGAGGAGAGAAUCCUAAGGUGAGCGAGAGAACUCUCGUUAAGGA
rnacentral:rRNA from 1 species